GCCCCUGUAGCUCAAAAGGAUAGAGCGUGGGAUUCCUAAUCCCUGCGUUGGAGGUUCGAGUCCUCUCAGGGGCA
rnacentral:tRNA from 1 species